CUCAAAAGCCUCUCCUCUGUCCCCAGCUGGGCACAUACCGUUUCUGUGAAUUCAGGGCAUCUGCUGGACAGACCUGUCUGUCCCGGGAAUUGAAGUCUCCGGGGUGGACUCUGGGAGAGAAGUUUAAUGGAUGUGGAAAACAAGUUCAGGAGCUGUGGAUUAAAUGGGGUGACAAUACCAAUAUACUUGGCUGCCUCGGAAAAAGAGGAUAUUUCAAAAGUAUUGUCCAUUUGGAAUUAAAAGCUGCAAAGGAGGACAUUAGAAGAAAACUGAAAAUUGAUUUCUGUCUGGAAGAGUUAACACUGAUAAAAUAUCUUUCCAUGGAUGAAUUUAAAGCACCCCUCAUAUCAAAGGAAGUGAAGGAAGUAUAAUAAGAAAAAGCUGGAAAGGUAAGAAAGCUGGGGUUCUAAUCUAGGCUGUUUUAUUAUCAGUCGAUCAACAAGCAUUUACCU
rnacentral:lncRNA from 1 species